UACGAAGGGUGCUAGCGUUGCUCGGAAUCACUGGGCGUAAAGCGCCCGUAGGCGGCUUUCUAAGUCAGGGGUGAAAUCCUGGAGCUCAACUCCAGAACUGCCUUUGAUACUGGAGAGCUUGAGUCCGGAAGAGGUGAGUGGAACUCCGAGUGUAGAGGUGAAAUUCGUAGAUAUUCGGAAGAACACCAGUGGCGAAGGCGGCUCACUGGUCCGGUACUGACGCUGAGGUGCGAAAGCGUGGGGAGCAAACAGG
rnacentral:rRNA from 1 species